AUAGUAGCCAACAAAUGCAUGGGGCCAAUCCCAUUCGUUAAAACGUCUUCCCCUGGGCGGAGAUCCGUUUUCCAAUGCAGGAGCGGUUGCUCCACAAGGUGGGGCCCGUGUACUUUGGGGAAGUAAACCCCAAGCAACUAGGAGGUGGGCGUCAGGGAGGCCAAGGAGGCCCCCGACCAAUCGCAACGCGAGAAGGAGCUGAUUGACGCGAGGGUUGGACUGCACCAAGGAGACGGAGCCCCAGGGCCGCCGUGCCCUCUGGGGCGGUUCUGAGGCUCUCCUGGUCCCGAGUCUCCUCUUUGCUUUCUUUCCCUCGCUUGUUGGGUCCAGCCCUGAGGCCCCUCUCUCGCCUUUUCUGCACAGUUUGGUACGAGGCAAACCAAGUGGGCUGCGAUCCGGUGAGCAAGACGCUGUCCCUGCUCGCUGUCACCCAUUCAACAGACCGGGGCGCCGCGCUGGGCCGGGAGCUCCCAAAAUCGGGGAGCAGGUGUCUAGGAGAAGAUAACGGAGAGAACUCAGUUCAGACCAGGAAGCUGCUAAAGGUUUUCUGAAGUAAGGAACCUUCAGGAUCGUGUUGGCCAUGCUGAAGAAUUUCAACUUCACUCUGAGAGCAGUGGAAGAAAGCUCCUUGAAAGGUCUCUUAAAGGUGAACAAAGAAAUUUACGUUAGACAAGAUGACUCUCCAAAUCGAAACGCUAAUCAGGGCAGAUGGGAGAAACUUUAAAUUCACAGAUUAGUAAUUUCACCCGGGUGGCCUCUGAUGGAGGGGGUCAAGGCUAUUCUUAAUUCCAUUUGGAGGGAAUUUUAAGUGAUUACAGAUCUUUUUGUAAGGCUAUUUGGCAGUCUAUUAAAAUUGUGUAUAUCCCA